rnacentral:rRNA from 1 species
UACGUAGGGGGCUAGCGUUGUCCGGAUUUAUUGGGCGUAAAGAGCGUGUAGGCGGCCAGGUAGGUCUGCUGUGAAAACUCGAGGCUCAACCUCGAGACGUCGGCGGAAACCAUCUGGCUAGAGUCCGGAAGAGGAGUGUGGAAUUCCUGGUGUAGCGGUGAAAUGCGUAGAUAUCAGGAGGAACACCUGCGGUGUAGACGGCUUUCUGGACCAUUGCUGACGCUGAGACACGAAAGCGUGGGUAGCAAACAGG